CACCCAACACUCACCGCACCACAGAGGAAGAUGAAGGUCGCAAUGCUCAGCGUGGCCCUGCUCUUCACCAUCCUGCUGUGCACUCCGGAAGAUGCUCAGGCAUUCGUGAAAGAAGGUGAAAAUUAUGAGAGAGAGGUGCAGUUUCUCAAAUUCGGGAAAGUGAAGAGAGCUGAG